rnacentral:lncRNA from 1 species
UCGAAAAUAAUUAUACUUUUUCAUUUAUACAUUUUUAUCGAAAAUCAAAUUCAUAUCAUUUGAUUAUUCACAAGCUACCAUCAUGUAAUUAUAGCCAAAAAGUGAAAUAUUCACAUAACGUCAUAAAAUAUCAUCACAAGUCAUAAUAUAAAUAUAAGCUGGUACUCAUGCUAUAAUCUCAUCACAUCAAACGUGCUAGAAAAUCCACCAAAAAUGUACCCUCUUACUCAAAUAUGUAAUCUGCCCCUCGGGCUAAGAACUUUCGCCACGGGCUUUUGGCCCCCUCCGUGAACGAAAACCGAUCUCAAAGACCUCUCAUAAUCAAUUCUAGAGCACGGUCAAUGCCCCUCUGUGAACUAUAUGUACACGAUCAAGAUCAAUGUGAGGUCAAGACCCUCCGUGUAGGAUAGAACACGGCCAAAACCCCUCUGUGAACUAGAAGAAUAUAUAAUCACGAGUACUUUUCUGGUCGAUCUCAAAAUCAUAUCUCAUAUUCCAAUUCACAAUGUACCGUAUACAAUCUUUGAAAUCUCACAUGUAUCAUCAUAAAAGAUAUUUCCAUAAUAACCAUAUAAUUCGAAUACAUAAUUGUAUAUAAUUGCAUAUACUUUAAUAAUAAACUUAAUUUAUAAAUAUUUUUAAAAUAUUUAUAUUUUUCCACUCACAGUACUAUGUUCGCAAAAUCAAUCAGCCUAGUAAAUUGUUCUGUUAUCAGUAUCGUCGCCUGAAAUACGAUAUAAUUUUUAAAUAAACAAUUAAUUAUUCGAUAAAAUUACAAUCCAACCCGUCUCAAAAUUAAUAUACAUAACAAAGUCAAUUACAAUUAAUUGAUAAUAUAUCCCACUGACUCAUGCCACCAUAAUAGCCAAUAAAUAUUUCAGCUUUCUAAUUUCUCAUUGAUGAUCACAUUAUAAUACCAAUAGUCUUAAUUUGAUUACCCUUCUUCCUCAAUCGCUACUAUGGUUGCCAAGUGCAGGGAAGUCCUUUUUCAUUUUUGGCCACAAUUUGAUGCUAAAAAGUAGCAAUUUCAUUUCCUUCCAAUUAAGCACUGUACAACCGAUUUCAUUUUCCUUUCAUUGGAUCCCUGUUCAACUAAUUCCAUUUCCAUUAGCAUUUCUACUAAUCAAAAUAUGAUUACACAUAUAUUUAUCCACUCAAUUCGAUUUAUGUACCUGCCCUUUUCUAUUCCUUCAGUCUCCCAGCUCUUCUCUCUACAUUCCUCCAAAGUGAGAAAUGGAUAGAUAUGUAUAAUGUUUAUGCUUAUCAAUUACCAUCAUUUCCACUAAUCAUACCUAUUCAAGAACUCAAUUAAAAACUCUAGGAUUUACCAAAAUUAGUAUUUCUUACCUUGAUACAAAGAUCUUUCACAAAUCUGCUUGAAAUCAUACUGUUUCCAUCAAUCCGAAAAUGGAACUAUCAAAUUUGCCCAACUACUUAGAAGCCUAGAAAAUUUUAUAUGAAUUAUACCACAAAAUAUUUACCUCUUUCCUCUCUAAAAAUUGAAGAAAUUGAAUAAUGGAACUCAAGAUUUUCUUCACCCUUUUUUCUUUAUCUUCUCUUUUCUCUUUUCUCUUUUCUUUCUCCUUUUUUCUCUCUCUCGGUCUCUCUCAAUUUUUCCGGUUUCUUCUCUCCCAGCCAUUUCUUCUUGUGUGUGUAUGUAAAGAAUUGGAAGAAAUGGUUUAUAACAUGACACUUGUAUUCCACUAACCCCAAAUUUUGCCAUUCAAGUCCUUCAACAUUAAUAUAUCUUAACAUUAAAUCUUUUACUUCCAAAAAUAGAAAAAUAAAUCCC